AAUCAACGCUGGCGGCGUGCCUCAGACAUGCAAGUCGAACGCGAAAGUUCCCUUCGGGGGUACACGAGCGGCGAACGGGUGAGUAACACGUGGGUGACCUGCCCUCAGCUCUGGGAUAAGCCUGGGAAACCGGGUCUAAUACCGGAUAUGACUCCAUGACGCAUGUUGUGGGGUGGAAAGCCUUGUGCGGCUGAGGAUGGGCCCGCGGCCUAUCAGCUUGUUGGGGGGUGAUGCCUACCAAGGCGACGACGGGUAGCCGGCCUGAGAGGGCGACCGGCCACACUGGGACUGAGACACGGCCCAGACUCCUACGGGAGGCAGCAGGUGGGGAAUCUUGCGCAAUGGGCGAAAGCCUGACGCAGCGACGCCGCGUGAGGGAUGACGG
rnacentral:rRNA from 1 species